GAUGAAGAACGUAGCGAAAUGCGAUACGUAAUGUGAAUUGCAGAAUUCAGUGAAUCAUCGAAUCUUUGAACGCACAUUGCGCCCUUUGGUAUUCCUUAGGGCAUGCCUGUUCGAGCGUCAUUUAAACCUUCAAGCUAAGCUUGGUGUUGGGUGACUGUCCGCUUCACUGCGGACUCGCCUCAAAAUUAUUGGCGGCCGGUACAUUGGCUUCGAGCGCAGCAGAAACGCGAACUCGGGCCCGUCGUAUUGGCUCCCAGAAGCUAUCUUCACAAUUUUGACCUCGGAUCAGGUAGGGAUACCCGCUGAACUUAAGCAUAUCAAUAAGCGGAGGA
rnacentral:misc_RNA from 1 species